UGUAGCAACAUGACCAACUUACAUCACAGCCUUUUGCCCUUUGUCAUGAAGUUGUACAUGUAAAUGGUUCAAAAAUCCGAGAAGAAGAAUGGAGACAUCAAAAGGUAUCUAGAGAAGUUCAGACUCAGCUUCUGCCUCAUGCCAACAAAAUUUGAAAAACCUAUGGAAAGAGAGCAAACAACUGGCCCAAAAUCUAAGGAAAGAAAGUAUCUCCAGGGAGAAAAGAGAUUUGCACCCAUGACCAUCUGAAGGUAGAUACUAAGACAGAAGCCAGCACAACUGCAGGAGAAAUGAAAUGAGGUUCUAAGCCACCUUACAGCUUACAUUGGCCCCACCAGUCUUUUUGUUCAUUGGUUACGUGAGUCAAAUUUAUACCCCUAAAUCCACAAUAUGCUGCCUGCAGAACCCAAAGAAGCCUGAGAAGCAUGGUGAUUACUUCUUAGUAGUGGAAAGAAUGAGACACUUUUGCCUGACUCGUGUCCAGUUUAUGCCUGCCUGACCAUUUCAGAGCUGAGUCUGACCUUGUGUUUUCCCCAGUAUCCUGGGGGAAACCUGGCCUGGAGCAACCCCUACUAUUUUGAUAGAAGAAAAUCUUCCAGAUUGACACAGAAACGAGAAUGAAAUAUCACCUCUCAAGUGAGAAUUCAAAAGGCUGAUGUAAAUGAGGAGAAGAAUUUCAAGCUAGUAAAUCUUGGGUGAUUAACUUCAAGAAGCAAGCCUAUAACAAGCACAGAGUACUGAAGGACACAAUAGCUGAUGAGAAAUAUAAACACAGUUUUUGAAGGAUAAAACUAGAAGAAAGAAUCCAUAACUCAUCUAGAAGAGCAGAAAAAGAUGAAAUCUGAAUUCUGGCUAUCAUGGAUGCCUUAUGAAUCAAGACAAUUCACCCUGAAGAACUCCAGACAGGAGCGGGAAUUAUAGGGUUCCAGUACUUCAGGAGGCAGGAUGAGGUAGAACUGAAAUAGGUAAAUCCACAUAAAGACAAAUAAAAAGGAAAAGUGAUAUGGAUAGGAGACAGGGAAUCACUGUUUGAAGAUAGCAGUUCCCUGGAAAAGGCCCCACCCUCAAGCCUGAAGACACAAAGCCCUAAAUGAGGACAGAUAUUCCUGUUUUUGUGCCCAAAAAGUUGCCUUUUGGCCCAAUAUGCCCCCUAUCCUUUAUCCAUGUAAACCCCCAACCCCAGGCUCCAGAAGCAGACUAGCAUAAGACAAGCAGACGAAUGGCAGAACAACACAGCAGAGAAAGAGAGAAGAGGAGGAAGGUCUGAACGUAAAGAGGAGUUUAGGUUGCUGUGGUUGAAGAGGAGUUUGGCUGCUAGACAGCCUAGAUCAUCUUUCCACUUCAUCCCCCGCUUCUGGCUCCCCAUCAAUCCCACUGACAGCCACCUCCACCACUCAAUAAAACCUUGCAUUUAUCCAUCAA